CUCGUCUGUGCUGCAAUGCGAGAACUUUCCAGGUGCCUGAGUGCCGGUCUAGACCCCAGGCCAAGCGCGAAAAAUGCAUUUCAGUGAUUCCUUCUGAUGGCGCCUCUGCCUUUAGGUCGCUUUGACGUCGAGAAUACCCCGGGUCUGACUCAGUUCUUGGUGGUGCUUCAGGACUGGGACUCCUCAUCUUCGUGGUUCCCCAUUACUCAGGAGGUGCUUUUUGGCAUCCUCUGGCCUGUGCCCUUCUUGCCCCAAGACCCCGGAGGGAAAGUGUUCUUUAGGAGAAAAAAAAAAAAAACACACACACACACACACACACCCAGGGGCCAUGCUGGCUUUCUCUGUCUAGGAAUGCUUCUUCAGAGGCGUUUACUCCUAUAUUUCUUAAAAGGCCCAAAUCAAACGCUGUCUCCUUCACAAGCCACAUCAUGUCUCUUAGAUGCCUUUUCCAUCUCAGGUUGAGGUUCUUGGUGUUCCUGGGGAUGUGAAGGAGUCACUCUUUACUCAUCUUUGAGUCUUGCCCCCAACUCCUAGUCCAGCACCCUUUUACUUGGCUCAGCUGGUGGCCCAGAGUGUCACUAGAUUCACAAAGCCAGGUUUUCCCGUUAUAUGUCUUAGAACAAACCAGAUAAGAAAAGAUUUCAGAGACUUCACUAAAGGGACAGGCGCUAUAGGCAUGCUUAUAAUCCUAGCAAUUUAGGAGGCGGAAGCCGAAGGAUUGCAAGUUCAAGGCCAGUCUGGGCUGUCUCAAUUAAAAAGAAAAAAAAAAAAUUUUAAAGGCUGAGGAUGAAUUUUUAAAAAAGGAAAGAUUUCUAAAAGGCUUUGAACUCAUGGAAAAAAAUCAAGUUCAAGGAUAAGUCCCUCAACAGUCCUACUUGAGGCAGUGUGGAGGCAGUAGCCCUUCCCCCAUUGCCAGGUUCAAGGCAAACAAGCCUCUCGAACCAUGAAAUGCUCAAGUUCGCUUAGGCAGGAAUCAACCACUUUCUAUAUUAGCCUGAAGCACAGGAGUCUCAUGGGAAAUAACUUGCAUAUGUCUAUAAUUGGAGCUUAGACAUAUACAGACAAGUCUGAUCAGAACUCAAUCCCAUGAAGCUAAUGAGGCUUAGGCUGCAGUACCCCUCUUGCACAAGUUUCUUCCAAGGCCCAGCAACUAGUUGUUUUUUUUUAAGUUUAUAUUCUUGUUCUUAAAGGCACCCUUCCACUAGUUGGGUAAGCUUUAAAGAACUACCAUAACUGAACUCUCUCCUUCACAAGAGAUGGAAGUUUCUUGCCAGGAAAGGCUGAUGAGACCACUGGUAGUAUAAUAUAGUAGUAAAAGAAGUUAUCGUUUAGACAACUUGCUAACCUGUGUGUUGGCAAGCUCCUGGAGUUGAGCCACUGUUGCCCCACCAUCUGCUCCCUGCCAGGACACUCAAGUGUCUCCAGAUCCUCCAGACCCUCCUGCAGCUGAGUUGUGAACUUCCCUUCUCUUUUGGGCUUUCAAGAGCCUGGGCAUGUGGAAGGUAGAGGCUAUUUAGCUGGCAGGGAAAACCUGCUACUGGCUAAACCAGUGUUUCUCAAAGUGUUAUCCCUAGCAGCAGCACUUGGGAUCUCAGUGGAAAUGCAAAUCAGCAAGCCACAAUCCAGAUCUGUGGAGUCAGAGACUCUAGGUUUAGAUAGUUAAUAGCAGUUUAGGUUACCUUUGCUAAAAGCAGUGACUCUUCAGGUCUGCAUAUGCCUAAUAGUAACUAAAAGUAGGAUAAAGCCUGGCCUCUCUGCCUUCAUCUUGUAUCUGACUCCUUUGCUAUCUUAAACGUUGGAUUUAGUUCUUGUUCAGCUCUGCAGUUAGACAUGUUAAUCAUUUAAGAAGUAUUCAUCUAAAAACUGGUAAUAACUUAGUAAUUUAGCUAACCUCAAUUGUCCCCCUUGAAGAUUUGCAACAUCCAACUUCAGACCCCUAUAAGUGGUGCCUGGAAGUCCCCAGUCAUUGCCCCCUUUCAGAAUCACAGGUAUGAUAGAUGCGCAUCCUGAGCAACCAGUGGAAAUUGCCCUCCACCCUCCAGUGACACAGAACUUCUCCAGAGCCACCUCAUCGCCUCACAGAAAGAGAACAGAGAUUGAUCAACCAGACCACAGUUUGACCAAGACUGCUUGAUUAUACUAACCUCUUGCCUCACCCUCCCCAAAUUCUUACUUCCUGUAUUUUUUAAUUUGUGAAAUGCUUCAUGAAUUUGCAUGUCCUUGCACAAGGGACAUGCUGAUCUUCUCUAUAUUGUACCAAUUUUAGUAUGUGUGCUGCCAAAGUGUGCACUCUUCCCCUGUUAAAACCUAAGGCCCUGUUAGCACAGCACCCUGGAGACAGGGCUGAGCUGCUGAAUCUAAUUUUGGUCUUCCGAGUAUGGCCAUAUCAAUUAAAGUUUUUUUUUCUGUGUGGUUUUGGGAGUGAGUGGCCAGACCUGGUUUUUUGCCCCUCCCCCACUAGCCAGGCCUCUGUAACAAACUUCAAUUGUUGUUUUGACAAAUGGGGGAUUGGGGAACAGGCUCCAGGCUGAAGACCAUGGCACUAACUUGACUCAUGCCAGGAGUUGCAAUCUGUGGGGACACCUCAGUUUCUGUUCAUUUUGCUCUCUACCCACAUUAGUAAAUUACCACUGGAGGUGGAGUUAUAAGAGACUCAAAUACAUUUUGGCUUCAAUUCCAGCCAAAUGGAAUGGAUGCUGGGCAAAUUACUUGAUUUUUUUUCUGGCCUCCAUCUCCUCUGUAAAAUGGGUUUUGUAACUAAGAAAUUUGCAGAUAUUAAGCAAAAUGUGUUUAUAAAACAUAUAGAAUAGUGCCUUGCUCAAAGAAGAUUGUCAAAAGUGAUUAUUAUUAUGCCUUUUUCAAAACACUAGGCACAGUGGACUUUCAAACAUCGUUGAUCAAUUUCUUUUUUAUUAUUUAUUUUUUGGUACUGGGGAUUGAACCCAGGGUUGUUUUGCCACUAAGCUACAUACCCAGCCCUUUUAAAAAAAAUUUUUUUUUUGAGGCAGGGUCUCACUAAGUUGCUAAGACUGACCUUGAACUAGUCAUCCUCCUGUCUCAGCCUCUGCCUCUGGAGUUGGUGGCAUUACAGUAUGCGUCACUCUGCCCAACUCGUUGAUCAACUUAUACCCCUCCAUCAUUCCAAAAGUAUUUUAGAAGGCUUACAAGAACACUUUCAUUAUUCUAUUAUAC
rnacentral:lncRNA from 1 species